UACAGAGGUGCCAAGCGUUGUUCGGAUUUACUGGGCGUAAAGGGUGCGUAGGUGGUUGGGUAAGUCAAAUGUGAAAUCCUACAGCUUAACUGUAGAACUGCAUUCGAAACUGCCUGGCUAGAGUGCUGGAGAGGAGAUCGGAAUUCUCGGUGUAGCAGUGAAAUGCGUAGAUAUCGAGAGGAACACCAGUGGCGAAGGCGGAUCUCUGGACAGUUACUGACACUGAGGCACGAAAGCUAGGGGAGCAAACGGG
rnacentral:rRNA from 1 species